UUUGGUUGUGUUUUUUCAAGAGACCAAUAAAUUUUUCUUUUGUGAAAAGCAAUUUGUGUUUUACAGGUGACUUCUAGAAUUUUGUGCAAUUUGAAAAUGACUCUUGAAACUACUUUGUGGAUUUUUUUUUUUUCCCUAAUUUAGAUUUCCAGUGUGGGAGGUUUCAAAUUUUGGUGUUGCACUAUUAAGUGUGGUCUCGCAAAUGCAGCCAUGAAGAAAUGUGCAUGUGUUCAGGUUCUGACUUUGGGAGAAUAGAUGAGAAGAUGGAUUAGAUCAUUGGUGGAAUCUUAUGCUUCUAGUUUUGGGUUGAAGAUUUUUGAACAAGCUCAAAAGAAACAUUAGGUUCAAGAAAAAAAAAAAUUAUUUUGGGACCGUGGGCUGGUUCUCUUCUCUGAAAUGAUUCUUUAUUUUACUCUUUUCUACGGCUAAACUAGUUAUGAUUAGCUUUGGCUGAGAUCUUAAGUGUGUAAAACACAGUACUAAAUUUCCCUAAUUUAGUCAAUGAGUCUUAUUUCUUGGUGUUAGACUUAUUUCUUGAAUCUAGAGUGCUGAGUGUAGUACUGAAUUUAAAUAGAAUAUUGAAUUUAAACUUGUUUGUGGACU